AAAUCAAAAGAUAAUAAGUUCCGGAAUGCACCGGAUAGUCCCUCUCCCCCAGCCAUAGGGUCUCUCCAGAGUGGCUAGCCACAUAAGAAGCUACCCAAUAUGCUGCCACAUUAGCCUUUGAAUAUACAUGCUUGGCCUGCAGAGCCACCCACCCCCGCACCAUCUUUCAAAUAUCCCUAAGAAGAGAAUGGUAAUCACCCGCCCUUUCCACAUUCUGCUGGAUCCAACCAAUGACAGUGGCCGAGUUGCCCUCAAGCACUAAGAUAUUGGCCUGCAACAUGCACCAAGCAACUCAAGGGCUGAAUUCAAUGCCAUAUAACUUAGACUGUCUGAAGACUAGUCUCGACAACUCUGGACUUGUCUGGGCCGAAGCUGGGCCUAAUCUUUGUUCUUAAGUUUUAAGCCCAAAGGGCGGGGCCCGGAAGACCGGCUUUCCGUUGGGUCUUACGAGCUUUAAAAUAUUUUAGGAUUACCAUUUUGAAUCCUAGGAGGACUUGAUUCUAUGUGAGUCUUUUCUUGAUAUCCUCGAUUAAAGCAAAAGGAUACCCGCUUGUUUGCUUUUUCUUUUUCUUUGCGAGCGUGUGGAAAGACGAGGCUCUACUUUUUGCUUGAUUUUUUACUGGUCUUCGGUGUCAAAUCGUCUCCUUUGCGCGCGUGUAGAGGAAAGACAAGGAAGGCUCUUCGAUUGUGAGUGUGUUCAUUCUACUAGCCUUCGGUGUUUUUUCUUUAGGAGACCAGAUGACACUGGUAAAUCUUUACAGGCUUUUAUAGUUCAUUUCUGAUAAUUCUUUUAUUUAAGAUCUCGGAGUACGUGGUUGAUGCCUUGGGUUUCCACUCUGCUUUGAUUUCUUGGGGCUGGAUAUUCACAAGGCUUAGUUAUUGGAAUCCAUGAGAAUAAAUAGGGCUUCCGGUGGAGUUAGGUGGUGCAAUGAAGUCUUUGAUGCCAGCGCUCAGAGUCACUGCUUCUCUGCUUUGCUCGCUAGCUACUUUUAAUGCUUGCGCUUGGCUUUCACAAGGGUAUAAAUUUUUGUUGGUUGCCUGGAUGGCUUUUGCUUUUAUUUGGCGAAGUGUCCAUAGUUCAUGGGUCUCUUGCCAUCCUCUCAGAUUUGUAGAUUAAUGAACCAUAUAUAUUUCCAUAGUUACAAGAGGUUGCAAUGUAAAGCUUGUACGGUUUCUUUGGCACAACUA